rnacentral:rRNA from 1 species
AUUGAACGCUGGCGGCAGGCCUAACACAUGCAAGUCGAGCGAGCGGCGGACGGGUGCGUAAUGUCUGGGAAACUGCCUGAUGGCGGGGGAUAACUACUGGAAACGGUAGCUAAUCCCGCAUACCAUCAGAUGUGCCCAGAUGGGAUUAGCUGGUAGGUGGGGUAAUGGCUCACCUAGGCGACGAUCCCUUGCUGGUCUGAGAGGUUGACCAGCCACACUGGAACUGAGACACGGCCCAGACUCCUACGGGAGGCAGCAGUGGGGAAUCUUGCACAAUGGGCGCAAGCCUGACGCAGCCAUGCCGCGUGUGUGAAGAAGGCCUUCGGGUUGUAAAGCACUGUCGGUGGGGAGGCGGUACCCGCAGAGGAAGCAACGGCUAACUCCGUGCCAGCAGCCGCGGUAAUUC